UACAGAGGGUGCAAGCGUUAGUCGGAAUUACUGGGCGUAAAGCGUGCGUAGGUGGUUUCUUAAGUCCGUUGUGAAAGCCCUGGGCUCAACCUGGGAACUGCAGUGGAUACUGAGAGGCUAGAGUGUGUCAGAGGAUGGUGGAAUUCCCGGUGUAGCGGUGAAAUGCGUAGAGAUCGGGAGGAACAUCAGUGGCGAAGGCGGCCAUCUGGGACAACACUGACGCUGAGGCACGAAAGCGUGGGGAGCAAACAGG
rnacentral:rRNA from 1 species